ensembl:misc_RNA Metazoa_SRP Metazoan signal recognition particle RNA
GCUGGGUGUGGUGGUGCACAUCUGUAAUCCCAGCUACUUGGGAAGCUGAGACAGGAGAAUUGCUUGAACCCAGGAGGCAGAAAUUGCAGUAAGCUGAGAUUGUGCCACUGCACUCCAACCUGGGCAACAGAGCAAGAUUCUGUCUCAA